GACGAACGCUGGCGGCGUGCUUAACACAUGCAAGUCGAACGGAAAGGCCCUGCUUUUGUGGGGUGCUCGAGUGGCGAACGGGUGAGUAACACGUGAGUAACCUGCCCUUGACUUUGGGAUAACUUCAGGAAACUGGGGCUAAUACCGGAUAGGAGCUCCUGCUGCAUGGUGGGGGUUGGAAAGUUUCGGCGGUUGGGGCUGGACUCGCGGCUUAUCAGCUUGUUGGUGGGGUAGUGGCUUACCAAGGCUUUGACGGGUAGGCGGCCUUAGAGGGGGGCCGGGCACAUUGGGACUGAGAUACGGCCCAGAAUCCUACGGGAGGCAGCAGGCGGGAACAUUACACAGCGGGCGGAAGCCUGAUGUGGAGGCGUCGCGAUCGUGAAGACGGCCUUCUGGUUGUGAACCGCUUUCGCCUGUGCCGUAGCGUGAGUGACGGUAAUGGGUAAAGAAGCACCGGCUAACUACGUG
rnacentral:rRNA from 1 species